UCUCCUCCAGUGAAUCACACAGAGCGUCAACCUCGAACCAAGCAGCAGAACAGCACACAAUGCACACCAGGCAGCAACCACCGCAGAUUUGCGACCUACACCCUCCUGGUGGCAUACUGGGAUCUGAUUGAGGUCAGCAGACACCAAGUUAAGAGUCACCAGUGCAAACACGUCCAAGAUAAGUGUUCCUUGACCAAAAACAUCACUCCCACCAAUCAAUGAGUUUUUCUUGUUGGGUCUGAAACAGAAGGAUUUGGGCUUUUUUUUUUACAUCCACCAGUCAACAGUGAUCCAGAUAAUCAUGUCUUGUGACAACUUCUUCUACUUCCUGCUUGGCUCAGUAUGGAUAUGGAUCCCCAAAGAUAACAUCAAAGCCAACAUGCCACCCAAGUUCAAUGAUCUAAUUAUCUAGACACCAAAGUUGUGAUCAACUGCACUGAACUUUGCUGCCAGACACCAUCUUCCCUACUCCUGCAAAUUGAGGUGUUUUCUUCACUCUGUACCUUCAAGGGCAUGUUAGGAACGUCACCACACGGAGUUGUCACUUUUGUGUCCUCUUUGUAUGCUGGUUCUGUGAGUGACAAGGAGAUUGUUAUGCCGCCAGGAAUUCUUUCCUUACUUAUCCCUGAUCAUGGCCUUUAUGGUGGAUGAGGGCUACCUUGUGGAUGAUCUUGUUCCAUGCGGGAUCUGUCGGCCAGCUUUUCUGCAGAGGCGCCACAGAUGCCAGCGCAUGAGGUUAGGGAGGCCCUAUCCAGUGCCAGGCAAAGGGUGCAUGUCAAAACAAUGAUUCAGAGAGUAAAGGAGCACAAGCUGUUUGACAGUCAUCCCUCUGAUUGUCUUAGGAAGCAUCAACUAACUAUUUGCAGUCAUGCUUGCUGGUCAAUGAAAAUGGACCUUUGGUCAGAGCAUGGGCCAAGCUGCUAUAAACGUACAUUUGUUUUUGCUUUGGGUCACUCUGACCAUGAAGAUUUUUUUUUUUAAAGAUAACCAACUGCAUUAAGUAAUAGUUACAUAUAAUGAAAUGUUUAUUGAAUAUUCCCAGAUUGUGUGCCUACCACAAAUCAGGUAAACGUCACAAAUGUCAAAAUAUGAAAUGUAUAAUUUGUGGAUUAAAUGUAUUAAUAACUUGUAACACUUCAAUGCAUAUUAGUUGUUUGUGUUGAUCUUGUAUUGGCCUUAAUAAGGAAAUUUGUUUUAGUAAGCACCGAAGAGAA